CAAUUGGAGAGUUUGAUCCUGGCUCAGAAUGAACGCUGGCGGCGUGCCUAACACAUGCAAGUCGUACGAGAAAUCUUCUGCUUGCAGGAGAGAGUAAAGUGGCGAACGGGUGAGUAACGCGUGGGCAAUCUGCCUCUGAAUCUGGGAUAACCCCGCGAAAGCAGGGCUAAUACCGGAUGGUAUCCCGCGACUUUGGUUGUCGGGUUUAAAGGUGGCCUCUACAUGUAAGCUACUGUUCGGAGAUGAGCCCGCGUGCCAUUAGCUUGUUGGUGGGGUAAUGGCCUACCAAGGCGACGAUGGCUAGCUGGUCUGAGAGGAUGAUCAGCCACACUGGAACUGAGACACGGUCCAGACUCCUACGGGAGGCAGCAGUGAGGAAUCUUGCGCAAUGGGGGAAACCCUGACGCAGCAACGCCGUGUGAGUGAAGAAGGCCUUCGGGUCGUAAAGCUCUGUCAAGUGGGAAGAACCUGUCCCGUGCCAAUACCACGGGACACUGACGGUACCACUGGAGGAAGCACCGGCUAACUCCGUGCCAGCAGCCGCGGUAAUACGGGGGGUGCAAGCGUUAUUCGGAAUCAUUGGGCGUAAAGGGCACGUAGGCGGCCUGGUAAGUCAGAUGUGAAAGCCCGGGGCUUAACCCCGGAAGUGCAUUUGAUACUGUCAGGCUUGAGUAUGGGAGAGGGAAGUGG
rnacentral:rRNA from 1 species